rnacentral:rRNA from 1 species
CUACGUGCCAGCAGCCGCGGUAAUACGUAUGUCACAAGCGUUAUCCGGAUUUAUUGGGCGUAAAGCGCGUCUAGGUGGUUAUGUAAGUCUGAUGUGAAAAUGCAGGGCUCAACUCUGUAUUGCGUUGGAAACUGCAUGACUAGAGUACUGGAGAGGUAAGCGGAACUACAAGUGUAGAGGUGAAAUUCGUAGAUAUUUGUAGGAAUGCCGAUGGGGAAGCCAGCUUACUGGACAGAUACUGACGCUAAAGCGCGAAAGCGUGGGUAGCAAACAGGAUUAGAUACCCUGGUAGUCCACGCCGUAAACGAUGAUUACUAGGUGUUGGGGGUCGAACCUCAGCGCCCAAGCUAACGCGAUAAGUAAUCCGCCUGGGGAGUACGUACGCAAGUAUGAAACUCAAAGGAAUUGACGGGGGCCCGCACAAGCGGAGGAACAUGUGGUUUAAUUCGAUGAUACGCGAGGAACCUUACCCGGGCU